rnacentral:rRNA from 1 species
AUAACCAUUGGAAACGAUGGCUAAUACCGCAUGAUGCCUACGGGCCAAAGAGGGGGACCUUCGGGCCUCUCGCGUCAGGAUAUGCCUAGGUGGGAUUAGCUAGUUGGUGAGGUAAGGGCUCACCAAGGCGACGAUCCCUAGCUGGUCUGAGAGGAUGAUCAGCCACACUGGAACUGAGACACGGUCCAGACUCCUACGGGAGGCAGCAGUGGGGAAUAUUGCACAAUGGGCGCAAGCCUGAUGCAGCCAUGCCGCGUGUGUGAAGAAGGCCUUCGGGUUGUAAAGCACUUUCAGUCGUGAGGAAGGUAGUGUAGUUAAUAGCUGCAUUAUUUGACGUUAGCGACAGAAGAAGCACCGGCUAAUUCCGUGCCAGCAGCCGCGGUAAUACGGAGGGUGCGAUCGCUAAUCGGAAUUACUGGG